GAUUCCUGCUACCUCUGAGAACAACCUCCCUAGCCAAUCUGUCCUAGGAGUGGAGUGAAUUGAACUAGACGUUUGGGGAAGAAUCUAAUGUCAUUCAUUCUCGAACACUUCCGAAAAUCUGAAGACAGUAUUGCCCCAGGACAGAGGCCUGAUGAAGAAAACUGCAUAGCAGUACCAGGGAUGGAGUUGAAUACAAAAUACUAA